GCGCACCAGGCGCGAAUACUUUACAAUGUGCGAAAGCACGAUAAGGAAACUCUGAGUGCCUCCUAAGGAGGCUGUUCAGGUGUCUAAAAGCACCUGAAGGAAGGGCUGGGUAAGACCGGUGCCAGCCGCCGCGGUAACACCGGCAGCCCAAGUGGUAGCCACGUUUAUUGGGUCUAAAGCGUCCGUAGCCGGCUGGGUAAGUUCCUUGGGAAAUUUGGCUGCUUAACAGUCAAGCUUUCAGGGAAUACUGCCCGGCUUGGGACCGGGAGAGGUCAGAGGUACUCCAGGGGUAGGGGUGAAAUCCAUUAAUCCUUGGGGGACCACCGGUAGCGAAGGCGUCUGACCAGACCGGGUCCGACGGUGAGGGACGAAGGCUAGGGGCGCGAACCGGAUUAGAUACCCCUGUAGU
rnacentral:rRNA from 1 species